AUGCUAAAUCGAAGACGGGAGCGUCAAGAAUUGCCGCCGCUACGCAUACACUCAACCUCACGAUCUGCGCAUGUCCCCGCUGCGUCAGCAAGCGGAAAUUCCAAGAACGAUCAGGCGCCUAGGACCCCUGCCAGCGUAUUGCAUGGGGGCAUGAGGGGCAAUGAGAGCGUCCUCGUUCUGCCUCCUGUGAACAUCAUCACUAUUGCUGAUGUACAGUUUAUAUUUACAUAUAUUUUACACUAUGCAUAUACAGCAAUUCACGUUUACAGGACGUAAACGUUACAGUGUUUCAACCACAAAAUGAAUUAUAUUCUAGCUUAUUUUAAAUGAUAUCCUCAUUAGAUAGUAGAAUUAAAAUUCUGUGUGGAGUUUUUAAUUAGUAGUACAUACACUGUACUUUAAGAAUCUACGGAGACAUUAUCUUACCAUAAUGGCACGCAAUGGUUUAUUUCUUAAUGACUUACAACAAUCGCUACUCAUUAACAAGUGUAUCCACGUAGAUCAGGAGUCGGAAUUAACCUGCCUACGCCCGCGACAGAGCAUUUUCGGAGACUGGUCUGAAAUAUGCUGCAGAGUUAUGGAGGAAGGACCGAAGUGGAUUGCCGACACUGCCAUUGAAAUCCAUUGCCAUCAUCCAAUCAGUCUUUGAAAAUGCUCUGUCGCGGUCAGGUUAAUUUCGAACUUUGAUGUAGAUAAUUACUUUUAUUUAUUUAAUAAUUGGAGGAUUUGGAACCAUUGUCGAAAAUACGUGGAAUUUAAUUGAAAAAAAUUGAAAAUUUUGAUAUUCUUACGCGACAUUGGUAGAACUAGAAUUUAGAGAUAAUCAGAUUAUUGUCAUGGAAAACCAAAAGGUGCUUUUGUAAAGCUAGAACAUGUAGUUUGUAGAAUACAAUAUAUUGCUCAAAAUAAUUAGAAAAUAUUAUAUAAAAGAUAUGCGAUAACGAAAUAUAAAUGCGUGUAAAUGUUUCAAUUGCCUAAAUUUGUUUGUACAUGUUUACGCUAAUAGGAUUCGUUUACAUAUGUUGUAAAAUAUGUAAUUGGAAUUGCUUAUCGUUACACAUAUUCGUGAAAGAAAAAUAUCCUCUAACUGUUCUGAGCAUCGUAACUUCAUCUUGUAAAAAAUGAAGUAAUAAGAAAUAGUUAAUUAGCA